rnacentral:rRNA from 1 species
UACGAAGGGUGCUAGCGUUGCUCGGAAUCACUGGGCGUAAAGCGCACGUAGGCGGCUUCUUAAGUCAGGGGUGAAAUCCUGGAGCUCAACUCCAGAACUGCCUUUGAUACUGAGGAUCUUGAGUUCGGGAGAGGUGAGUGGAACUGCGAGUGUAGAGGUGAAAUUCGUAGAUAUUCGCAAGAACACCAGUGGCGAAGGCGGCUCACUGGCCCGAUACUGACGCUGAGGCACGAAAGCGUGGGGAGCAAACAGG